UCUGGUCUUUGUGAUACUUUUUUUUUUUUCUCUGUUUCAAAGCUAGAGUCUCCCUGACUGGUGGAUGGUUGCCCUCACCGAAAGUGUCUGAGUUCAGCCAGGAUCAAAUCAGUGUUCAGCAAAGCUGAAGAGAGCUCUGGCCAUGCUGCAGACUUCACCUCUUCCUCAGGGAGCACCACGCCAGACACAGCUGCUGUGCCGCGUGGGUCCUUUCGGGAUUCUCGAAGGUGUGCGUGCAUCCCGGACAGGCCAGAGUGACAGCCGACCAUCCAGAUCACCACAAUUAAGACAGACAACAUUUGCCUCAACACAGGAUGUGCAGUUGUGGGAAGAAAUACUACAACUUCAUUUU
rnacentral:lncRNA from 1 species